ensembl:lncRNA
GCAGAUCAACAGUGGAUCACAUAUCGAUUGUGGGAGAGAGUAUGAGCGUGCAGCGUUUAAAGCGUGGAAGUACUGACCUUACUUUGAGUUUGAUUCCAUAAAAAGUGACAAAAACAUUAGCGUCCAUCGUGCGUGGGAAGAAAACUUCUUUUUACAGCGAAAAAACCCCUAAACUUCCAACAAGCACCGAGUAGCUACGACGUAAUGGGAAACUCACAGAGAAACUUACGGAUCCUUCCACUGACCGCUGCACACCUGCACCAGGGUAAACCUCCGCCUACCCCACUCCUGCUUUACAGCGUGAACCCUGCCGCUCUGAUCAGCUGAGGGAUUUGAGGGUUUUUCAGUCCACGGGCUGACGCGCAGCACACCUGAACCAUCUCACCUGUUUGCAGAUCAUGACCUUCAGUCCGGAGCCGUCAUGGGCCUCCUGCUGCCGGGAAACCAGAUCCCGAGCAUUUAGUGAGACAGGAUCAGCUCGUGCGGUGCGAACGGGCCAACUAAACGGUCUAUUUCUGCUUAAUCCUGACUUCCUGUUUGGCUCCACCACCGUUGUAAGCGAUGCUGCUGGAAAAAUCUGCUGCUGCUGGACGAGCGGGGAGCAGGACGGAUCGGAUCCCCCGCACACCUGCAGGAUUUGGCUCUGAUGUGGAAACAGGGAUCAGGAAUAUUUAUACACGCUUACAUAACCAGCCUCACCAUUCAACAUCCAGAUCAGUGUUUCUGUACCACUAUCGCACACACACGCCUCCCCCAUCACCUCCCCCUCUGCAGAGGAGAUACCAGUGCUCUUAGAAACUCCCCUGGUUGCCUAGCAACUGGUCCUGAGGAUUGCCAAAGAGACAGAGAUCAUUCGUCUGUUAUGAGUGGGUAAUAUGAUAUUGUGUAAGUGGGGGUGUAAGCUUUCAUGUCCAUGUUUGUGAGGACCGACUGAAGUUUUUUUGGAACCAGAGCGCGUUUGAGGGCUCAGCUGUGAUGAGUCGGGACGCCGUCCACGUCUGCCCUCGACCGUCACUCGUGCACCACAUGUUCUGCAUGUAUGUACGCAAAUCAGACAUUUCAUGGAGUUUCUGUAAAGUUGGGACACAUUUUGUGUAUUGGGGACAAACGUUUAUCAAAUAUUGAACCAUUAAAGAAAAUAUUCAUGAUAUAAACUGAAACAUAACCAAUAAAGUAAAUUUCCUUUGUUGAAA